GUGAGGCAUAGUGGCGCAUGCCUAUAGUCCCAUCUACUUGGGAGACUGAGGUGGGAGAAUUGCUUGAAUCCUGGAGUUUGAGGCUAGCCUGGGCGACAUAAUAAGACACCAGUUUAA
rnacentral:sRNA from 1 species